rnacentral:tRNA from 1 species
GGAGCGGUAAUACGGCCGGUUGCAACCGGUCUGGCACGCCAGGGCUUGCAGGUUCGAGCCCGGUCCGCUCCG